rnacentral:rRNA from 1 species
CUACGGGGGGCUCCAGUAGGGAAUCUUCGGCAAUGGACGGAAGUCUGACCGAGCAACGCCGCGUGAGUGAAGAAGGUUUUCGGAUCGUAAAGCUCUGUUGUAAGAGAAGAACGAGUGUGAGAGUGGAAAGUUCACACUGUGACGGUAUCUUACCAGAAAGGGACGGCUACCUACGUGCCAGCAGCCGCGGUAAUACGUAGGUCCCGAGCGUUGUCCGGAUUUAUUGGGCGUAAAGCGAGCGCAGGCGGUUAGAUAAGUCUGAAGUUAAAGGCUGUGGCUUAACCAUAGUACGCUUUGGAAACUGUUUAACUUGAGUGCAGAAGGGGAGAGUGGAAUUCCAUGUGUAGCGGUGAAAUGCGUAGAUAUAUGGAGGAACACCGGUGGCGAAAGCGGCUCUCUGGUCUGUAACUGACGCUGAGGCUCGAAAGCGUGGGGAGCAAACAGGAUUAGAUACCCCCGUAGUC